UACGGAGGGUGCGAGCGUUGUCCGGAAUCAUUGGGCGUAAAGGGCGCGUAGGUGGCCCGGUGAGUCUUUGGUGAAAGCGCGGGGCUCAACCCUGCGUCGGCCAGGGAUACUGCCGCGGCUCGAGCACUGUAGAGGCAGGCGGAAUUCCGGGUCUAGCGGUGGAAUGCGUAGAGAUCCGGAAGAACACCAGUUGCGAAGGCGGCUGACUGGACACAUAUUGACGCUGAGGCUCGAAAGCAUGGGGAGCAAACAGG
rnacentral:rRNA from 1 species